CAUGUACUCCCUCCGUCUGGAAAUACUUGUCUUCAAAAUGAAUAAAAGGGGAUGUAUUUAGAUGUAUUUUAGUUUUAGAUACAUCCUUUUUUGUCCAUUUUGAUGACAAGUAUUUUCGGACGGAGGGAGUACGUG
rnacentral:pre_miRNA from 1 species